UUUCCGUAGGUGAACCUGCGGAGGGAUCAUUACCAGAGAUGGCGGGCCUCCGUGCCCCCGUCCCCAACCCAUUGUUGACCAAAAAUCUUUGCCUCGGGGGCAGAGCGUCCGCCGCCGCCCCCGGAGGACCACCGAACGCUGUCUCUAUACGUCGGAGUAUUGAUUAAAUGAAUGAAAACUUUCAACAACGGAUCUCUUGGUUCUG
rnacentral:misc_RNA from 1 species